rnacentral:sRNA from 1 species
CCUGCAGCUGCCCCACACAGAGGCCUUGCUGGUGCUGUGCUAUUCGAUUGUGGAGAAUACCUGCAUCAUAACCCCCACGGCCAAGGCCUGGAAGUACAUGGAGGAGGAGAUCCUUGGUUUCGGGAAGUCGGUCUGUGACAGCCUUGGGCGGCGACACAUGUCUACCUGUGCCCUCUGUGACUUCUGCUCCCUGAAGCUGGAGCAGUGCCACUCAGAGGGCAGCCUGCAGCGGCAACAAUGCGACACCUCCCACAAGACUCCCUUUGUCAGCCCCUUGCUUGCCUCCCAGAGCCUGUCCAUCGGCAACCAGGUAGGGUCCCCAGAAUCAGGCCACUUUUACGGGCUGGAUUUGUACGGUGGGCUCCGCAUGGACUUCUGGUGCGCCCGGCUUGCCACGAAGGGCUGUGAAGAUGUUCGAGUCUCUGGGUGGCUCCAGACGGAGUUCCUUAGCUUCCAGGAUGGGGAUUUCCCCACCAAGAUUUGUGACACAGACUAUAUCCAGUACCCAAACUACUGUUCCUUCAAAAGCCAGCAGUGUCUGAUGAGAAACCGCAAUCGGAAGUCCUGGAGGAAGCAAGGCCCUCCUAGGCAGGUGGUGGGUAACAGAGGAGGGCCCUGAGAGCACCACAGGAAGAACCCUUGGCUGGGCUGGGACUUGGAUGUUGAGGUCUCGGUCUGUCUCCUCUUCUUACUCACCAAGUAGCCUGGGAUGAGGCACUUCCCCCUCUGAGCCUCAGCCGCCUGUUUCUGCAUGAAAGGGGUUGGGCUGCUUGAUGUCUCCUCUGGCUUUAAAAACCCACAUUUGAGUUUCCUCCUUCCCUCUACUGCCAUGUGCCCA